UUUCCGUAGGUGAACCUGCGGAAGGAUCAUUCUCAUACAAAAUGUGAGGGGCAUUCGAGGGCUGUCGCUGACCCAAAAUUCAUUCACGCCCGAGUUUGUCCUCUUGCAUAAUAAUCCAUCUCACCCUUUGUGCAUCACCGCGUGUGCACCCUUCAGUAUCAUCUCGGAAGGCGGCUCACGUUUUCACACAAACCCCCCCUUUAAAAUUGUAGAAUUACAGAAUUUAGCCAAUCAAUACAACUUUCGACAACGGUUCUCUUGGCUCUCGCAUCGAUGAAA
rnacentral:misc_RNA from 1 species